rnacentral:lncRNA from 1 species
UCUUGACCAAGUACAACACCAUUCUCACCUAUAUUCCUAGGGGUGGGCAUCCGGUCCGUUCGGUCUGAUUGUUUAAUAUCGGUUUCAAAUUGACAAAAAUGACAUUCAUAACCAAACCGAAAUAAAUUCGGUUUGAUUCGGUUCGGUUAUUUCGGAUUUUUAUUUCGGUUUGAAAUAUUAAAGUAGUUAGCCUCUCUUUUUUAUAACUGAGCAUUUAAAAUUGAU